rnacentral:rRNA from 1 species
AUUGAACGCUGGCGGCAGGCCUAACACAUGCAAGUCGAGCGGAUGAAGGGAGCUUGCUCCUGGAUUCAGCGGCGGACGGGUGAGUAAUGCCUAGGAAUCUGCCUGGUAGUGGGGGAUAACGCCCGGAAACGGGCGCUAAUACCGCAUACGUCCUGAGGGAGAAAGUGGGGGAUCUUCGGACCUCACGCUAUCAGAUGAGCCUAGGUCGGAUUAGCUAGUUGGUGGGGUAAAGGCCUACCAAGGCGACGACCCGUAACUGGUCUGAGAGGAUGAUCAGUCACACUGGAACUGAGACACGGUCCAGACUCCUACGGGAGGCAGCAGUGGGGAAUAUUGGACAAUGGGCGAAAGCCUGAUCCAGCCAUGCCGCGUGUGUGAAGAAGGUCUUCGGAUUGUAAAGCACUUUAAGUUGGGAGGAAGGGCAGUAAGUUAAUACCUUGCUGUUUUGACGUUACCAACAGAAUAAGCACCGGCUAACUUCGUG